GCCAAGUUCUGUGCAAUCAAGCAAAUCACGGUGAUUUCUCUUUCUUGUAUCCAUUCUCCUAGACCAAAACCAAGUAACUAUUUUUGAUCAAAAGAGCACA